UCACCAAUUGCUUCGAACAAUGAGAGGAACAAUUGAUAAACUAGCAAAGCAGCAUAAUACAAAUAAAACCCCAUCACCUUCUCAUCAAAGAGGAAGUCAUAACCAACCUGAUAUCAAUGAAUCUUUCCCAUCACCACCACAUGUUGAGGAUGAAUUUCAGACGAAUGCUAUUAUUCCUUACCAGACUAGACAUCCUCCAUUACGUUCAUAUUGACUACGUCAAUGUGCUGCUGACCUACAAUUACCAUACGUGGUACAACCAUCAAUAAAAUUUUCAGUGUCUUCAUCUGUAACAAAGCAAGUUUUGGCAUAUGCAUUGGACGAUACACGUGAUAAAAGCCAAAUAUUAUGUUCCAUGAAUGAUUUCUUCUUGACAAGGUUCAACUUCAAAUGCUUGAGACUCGACAAAUUGGUUGACAAUAAGGUUGUAACCAUGCAUUGUCGAAUUUUGAAUGGUAUGGAUAAAGAAAAUAGGAAUCAUUUCUUAUCUCCAAACUUUGCGGUAAGAUAUGUUGUAAGAAUUAUAGAUUGGUUUUCUUGUUUUGAGUAGAUUGUUUUAAUCUAAUGUAUGCUUUGUAUUUUUUUAUUACAAUCUGAUGUGGAAAAAAAAGGGGUACAUUAUCUCCAAAAUACAUG